ensembl:miRNA MIR4261 microRNA 4261
GGUGGAAGUGGGUUCCUCCCAGUUCCUGAGACAGGAAACAGGGACCCAGGAGACCAGC